GACGGCUCAGUAACACGUGGCUAACCUACCCUCGGGUGGGGGAUAACCUCGGGAAACUGAGGAUAAUACCCCAUAGGAGAAGAGGUCUGGAAUGAUCCUUCUCUGAAAACAUAUGUGCCCGAGGAUGGGGCUGCGUCUGAUUAGGUAGUUGGUGGGGUAACGGCCCACCAAGCCUACGAUCAGUACGAGCCUUGAGAGAGGCAGCCCGGAGAUGGGGACUGAGACACGGCCCCAGGCCCUACGGGGCGCAGCAGGCGCGAAACCUCCACAAUGCACGAAAGUGCGACGGGGGGACCCCAAGUGCUUACGCACUGCGUAGGCUUUUCUAAAGUGUAAAAAGCUUUAGGAAUAAGGGCUGGGCAAGUCCGGUGCCAGCAGCCGCGGUAACACCGGCGGCCCGAGUGGUGACCACUUUUAUUGGGCCUAAAGCGUCCGUAGCCGGUCCAGUAAGUCCCUGUUUAAAUCCUACGGCUUAACCGUAGGGCUGGCAGGGAUACUGCUGGACUUGGGACCGGGAGAGGGCGAGGGUACUUCAGGGGUAGCGGUGAAAUGUGUUGAUCCCUGGAGGACCACCUAUGGCGAAGGCACUCGCCUGGAACG
rnacentral:rRNA from 1 species